rnacentral:lncRNA from 1 species
UCAAGAACAAGCAGAGAUAUUUAUUAGAUCUGUAAGUAUAAAGAAAGUCCUUGAGGAGCUACACCAGACUGGAGGACAGGACAUGCUGCUGUGCCAGGGCUACACCCCCCGAUUUAGACAUGUUGCUGGGACAAAUGCCACUGCACACAGAGCAACACAUGGCAACGACUGUGGCGGAAAGGGGGACACCUUUUUUAAAAAAAAAAAAAAAAAAAAGAACAAAACCAAACCAAACCAACAAAAAACCAACAACAACAAAAAUACCCCAAAUAACUAAGUCUCCCAAGGCUGAUAGCUGGCAGGCACUUUGGUGUAUCAUUUUGCAGGCCACGAUCCCCACAAGGACCACGCUCCUCGACCUCUGAGCAGUCUGGCUGGCACAGAACACGUUGACCCGGUGAGCAGAUGUCCCAUACCCAUUGGAAGAUCGCUUUUGCAGACUUCACACAGCUCUCUUGACAAGAUGAGUCCGUAACUAGUGAGAAAGUGCACUUUCCACAGAGAACAUCCCAGCUUCUCCUCCACGUGUUCCAGAGGUCUCUCUUGCAGCCCCCUCUUCCACCACAAUGAGCAGAGACUGAUGUAAACCAUGUACAGCUGCGCGUUGUUUUUCCUGGCAUGCUUUGGCCUGUGUCAUGGCACAGUUUUUUGGUUCAGGCACUAGAAGCAUGGUGGGUUUUUCUUCUUUCACUAGGGAUAAAGCAAAUGUGCUAUUCCCAGGUGAGUGUACCUGCCACAGCACACCAUUAGCUCUACAUUUGACAAAAUGCUUGCUUUUUCCACAUGAAUUUCAGCUUUAACACGUAAAAAGAAACGUAUUCUGUGUUUGAGAAAGAUUUAACUUUUCUCUCUAUGAAUGGCACAGCACCUAAACUCUUGUUUCCCUUCACCCCUGACAACCACUAUGCCAAGGCUGAUCUUUCCGCACAGUUGCCAUUUUGCCCCGCAGGAAGAGAAUUCCUCAUUGUCCCUCCUUACCAAAAUAGUUUAAUCCAGGUAAAUAAAAAAAUUCUUGAAGCCCAAUAUAGUUUUUUCAUGGACAAUUCCAGCACAGAAGGCUCACGAGGAAAGUUACAGACAAGUGGGAGGAAGCCUUCAGUAACUUCACUACCACACCACUAACUUGAGUUGCUGGCCUUGGGCUGCUUUAGGCAGCUGUCCCCAGGAUACUUCUCAAAGUGCAACACAUUCCUAACCAGUAAGCAACAAGUCUCCUGCACAUGAAAAAGAGAAAUCCAGACAAGAAGCAACAACCUCCAUCUAUAGUACCUCUAUAUUUUUUGCCCAGCCUUCCUCCUGUAACUGACAGGCAGUCAUACCUAUCAACAGGACAGCUGAAUCAAGUAGUGCUACUCAUGCCCUCAUGCCUCCUCUUCGUAGGGCUCUGAUACAUGGCCAGGCACUGUUCGAAUGACAGCACCCCAGAUCCAUACUGGCUGUGUACAGUGCAAAUCUGCCAGACACAUGAAUAAUUCAACUAUGGAACUGCUUGUGCCAUCUCCAUAGUAAUAAAUGCAGUGUUAAUGCAGCAGAUUAUAUAUAAGCAUUCAAAAUCUCUUCAGAAGAUUAGAUUUUAUGGGGGUAUUAGAGGAACACUGAUUAAUAAACAUGCUAGAAAAACAGCACGGGGGAUGGGGGUAUUACCUUCAUAUACAUCACUUGGAAACUCACCCCCCCACCGCCAAAACCUCGACACCUUGAGGGGAAAAGCGGCAACCAAUUUAUCCUCACUGUCCAGACACCCAAAAAUGAGGUUUAAUAACACAGAUCACAGAUAAUCAAUCCUUCAGUGGCUGCCACCAAGUUUUUCCUUCUCUGCUCCUAGGCACACCACCCUCUAGCUCCCAAAGGACUGUUUACAACACUGCCAUUUCUGCUGAUUCUGAAAGUACGGACCUCCAAUAUCCUCAGUAGCAAAUUAUACAUUAGAAAAGCAAAGUGCUGAAUGACUUACCCCUAACUCCAGGGAUAAGAAAUUGCUAAGAACUUACUUAUGAUUAUUUUCCACUCAAUUUUCUUGACUCAAGUUUGCCAAAUAGUCACCUAAUUAAAAAUAAUUUAGUUAACAUUUCAAAUAGUUCGGUCAAAGCUGGGACCAAAAUACUUCAUUAGCAGGGCAUAAAUAUGAAUUGUUUUUAAAAUAAUCCUUGAAUGUUUUGAUAUGCAAAAGGAAGCAGCAGCUGCACCAAUGAAAGUGACCUUGUCUAGCACAUUGAUGGACAGAAUUUUUUACCCUGCCAAUAGCUUGCUUCUUUAAUCUUCUUUACCUAACACGAGAUAAAUGGGAUAUUAUGGGGUGCUUUUAUGGUUUGUGUUUUUAUCCUGUAGCUGGUUAUCCCUUGCAUGUCCAGUGAAGGGCAAAGAAAGUGGUAAAGCACAAGUUUCAGGAGGAGCAGCUGAGGGAACUGGGUUUGUCAAGCCUCUACCUGAAAGGAAGUUGUACUGAGGUGGGGGGUCAGUCUCUUCUCCCAAGUAACCAGUGAUAGAAUGAGAGCAAUCAGCCUUAAGUUGCACCAGGGGAGGUUUAGAUUUGGUCUGAGGAAAAAUGGCUUCACUGAAAGGGUAGGCAAGCACUGGAGCAUGCUGCCCAGGGAAGUGGUGGUCACCAUCACUGGAGGGAUUUAAAGAUGAGGCGCAGUAAACCACUGUGGAGUAUACAGAGCUGUUUCCAACCUGAAGUCACGUCAUUCUUCUGUGUACACAGUACUUUUCAGAAGAUGCUACAGCAAAGAGAGGAGAUGGAUCAAGUAUUUAACAUGACCAUCUUCCCUAAUAUCUAGUAAGAUGC